rnacentral:rRNA from 1 species
GACGAACGCUGGCGGCGUGCCUAAUACAUGCAAGUCGAGCGAAUGGAUUAAGAGCUUGCUCUUAUGAAGUUAGCGGCGGACGGGUGAGUAACACGUGGGUAACCUGCCCAUAAGACUGGGAUAACUCCGGGAAACCGGGGCUAAUACCGGAUAACAUUUUGAACCGCAUGGUUCGAAAUUGAAAGGCGGCUUCGGCUGUCACUUAUGGAUGGACCCGCGUCGCAUUAGCUAGUUGGUGAGGUAACGGCUCACCAAGGCAACGAUGCGUAGCCGACCUGAGAGGGUGAUCGGCCACACUGGGACUGAGACACGGCCCAGACUCCUACGGGAGGCAGCAGUAGGGAAUCUUCCGCAAUGGACGAAAGUCUGACGGAGCAACGCAGCGUGAGUGAUGAAGGCUUUCGGGUCGUAAAACUCUGUUGUUAGGGAAGAACAAGUGCUAGUUGAAUAAGCUGGCACCUUGACGGUACCUAACCAGAAAGCCACGGCUAACUACGUGCCAGCCGCCGCGGUAA